GACGAGGGGUGCAAGCGUUGCUCGGAAUUAUUGGGCGUAAAGGGUAGGUAGGUGGUCUCAUUUGUCUGGGGUGAAAGCCUUGAGCUUAACUCAAGAAGUGCCCCAGAAACGGUGAGACUGGAGUCCUGGAGAGGGUCGUGGAAUUCCCGGUGUAGCGGUGAAAUGCGUAGAGAUCGGGAGGAACACCAGAGGCGAAGGCGGCGACCUGGACAGGUACUGACACUCAACUACGAAAGCGUGGGGAGCAAACAGG
rnacentral:rRNA from 1 species